rnacentral:rRNA from 1 species
GACGAACGCUGGCGGCGUGCUUAACACAUGCGAGUCGAACGGAAAGGCCCUGCUUUUGUGGGGUGCUCGAGUGGCGAACGGGUGAGUAACACGUGAGUAACCUGCCCUUGACUUUGGGAUAACUUCAGGAAACUGGGGCUAAUACCGGAUAGGAGCUCCUGCUGCAUGGUGGGGGUUGGAAAGUUUCGGCGGUUGGGGAUGGACUCGCGGCUUAUCAGCUUGUUGGUGGGGUAGUGGCUUACCAAGGCUUUGACGGGUAGCCGGCCUGAGAGGGUGACCGGCCACAUUGGGACUGAGGUACGGCCCAGACUCCUACGGGAGGCAGCAGUGGAGAAUAUUGCACAAUGGGCGGAAGCCUGAUGCAGCAACGCCGCGUGCGGGAUGACGGCCUUCGGGUUGUAAACCGCUUUCGCCUGUGACGAAGCGUGAGUGACGGUAAUGGGUAAAGAAGCACCGGCUAACUACGUG